AAAAUCGUAUUGUGAAGUGUUGUAUGUGCAGAGUAUCGUAUAAGGAAGCGUUGGAAGUGCAGAAUAUCGUAUAAGGAAGUGUUAGAAGUGCUGAAAAUCGUAUUGCAAAGUCUUGUAAGUGCAGAGUAUCGUACAAGGAAGUGUUUAAGUGCUGGAUAUCGUACAGCGCAGUGGUUUUAGUGAAUUGUUAAAGUACUGAAAAUGUUAUUGUGAAAAUGAUGAAUAUUGUACAGCGAAAUCCUUUAGUGUGGAGACUAUCGCAUAUCGGAAUGUUUGAAAGUGACGUACAAAUAUGCGAUAAAUUACUCAUGGAGGUGCUCUGAUAUUGCCAAGUGUGAACGAUUAUCUAAAAAAAAAAAGAGAGAUAAAAUUGUGGAGAACAGAUUUUAAAAGCUGCACAUUUACCUCCAUUGCAAACACUACCACCACCGCCACCACGACCCCGGAACUGACAUGGGCAAGAUUGGGGUGAAGCAGUUUUCAGAUCAUGCCAACUUAGAUCCAAGAAGUCCAACUAAUGCCUGCUGCAGCUGUAGCAACAAAGAACCCUUACAACCAAGGAUGGGCUGGGCCGCCUCACCUCAAAACCAAGAUAAGCAACACCUGGGCAGCCCCGUGCAGGUCACCCUCACACUGACGACGACGGGCCGUUGAAGAAAAAACUGUGUCAAGAAGAGGAUGGGUCACCGCAUCACUGAACAAAAUCCACAGUGCCUUGACAGGAAGAGAUGAGCCACAAAUUAUACAGCUAAAAGAUGAACCAGAAGGCACUGAUGACUUUGCCUUGCCACGGCCCCAGACACUCAACGUUGGCCCAGUCCCUCCAGGGUCUUCUCAACAGCAGAUGUGAGUUUUCUUACAACUACAGUUACUUCUGCUACACAAAAGGAAGAGUUCAUUUGCAUUUUUUUCAUAUGAUUGAGAAUUUUUUUAAUCCUAAAAGUAAAUGAUUAAGAUAAUCAUACGAUUAAAAACAAGUUGAAUAUGAAAUGAAACCCUUGUAAAAUCAUAGGUAUACUCUAAUCUCAUUAAAAACAGGAAUUGUGUUUUAGCUACUUAAAAUAAAUAUGACAUGUUUUUUGACUCCAGGAAGCUGAGAUGACCCAUUGUUUUGGAGUGACCCAGCCUUCUGCCAACAGCCAAUUUUUCCACUAGAAAGAGUGACUGACACUCUUUACUCAUUCACCAGUAGUGUUCUGUGGCUUUGCCAGUUUGAUUAAGAAUAAGAGCAGGGGAAAAGAUCCAUUAUAUCCAUAUGUACACAGAGAUGCCUGAACACCCACCGCAUAACACUGGUGGCCUCAGGCACUCCCGUGAGGUUAGGUGAGUGUGGGGAUUAUUACCUCACUGUGAACCAAACUGUUUGACAGGAACCAAGUUGUGUAUGUAUAUAUAUAUACAUUUAUAUAUGUAUAUAUAUAUACACACAUAUAUCCAAUUUCAUCAGUUCUUAGAAUGCUGACACCUAAGGCCAAACUGACCAACCUACUGUUUUUUUGCAGAUUAUUUACUAAAUGAAUACCAGUCACACUUUUUUGGGGGGGCAGAUUCAAGAAACAUUGAUACACCCACUCAGCAUGUAGGGAGCAGCAUGGCCCCAUGGCGCUCGGCCAGGCACGACCACAAGGAUGGGGGGGUGGCCAUGACCCAGCGCUGGCAGAAGGGCCCAUUGCUUGCAACACCGACUCGCCCUGAGCUGGAGGAUCUCCCUGCUCGGCCAGAACUACGCAGAGUACUGCCCGGACAGGUAACAGCUUGCUCUCUCUCUCACACACACACACACACACACACACACACACA